UGUCAGUGGGCAAACGUACAAAAUCAGCAGGGGAUCAAAUUAUUUUUUCCCUCACUGUAGACAUGUCAUGCCAUGCAGCAGCUAGAGGAUCAUUAGCUAACGUUACUUGCUUCCUGCUAAGAAUUUUCAGGGUUCGCCUGCAGCGUAGCGAUUACUGCCAUUUACGAUUAUGUUGCCACUGCUAGCAAACGACAACGCACGGGACUGGAGAUGUUUUUGUUCUAAUGAAAUUGAUAUGGCAUCAUCUCCCUUCAAACUUAGAGUGAUCUUGGAGGAAGGUGGAAUUGAAACGAUGAUACUACCAGAACGUCCAGCCUCGGUUGACCAAGUUAUCAUUUUACUGAGGCAGCAAUUUGACAUUCCUUACACCAUUGACAUUCAAUUUCAAAACUCACAGUCUGAUUCACAGUUUUGCAAGCUGACCUGCAUUGAUGAUCUGCCAAACAGGGGCACAAUUAAGCUUUUGAUAUUGGAGGAUGCCAUGACUAGCUCUGGGGUGUCAUUGAGUAAUCCACACUUAUCAACUUCACAGCAUCCAGGACAACCGAGUGACAACCUUUUCACAUGAUCUUGAAUUGUUACUGAGAGAGGGAAGUCAAGGAUAUGACCAAUUUGGAAGACAACUGGUGUUGACCAGAAACCAAAGACAACAGAUUUUGGAUGGCGUGGCAAAAGCAAUCAAGGAAUGUGAAUGUCAGUCGAACGGCUGCCCUUCAUUGUCUCCCAGCACUACUUUGUGAAAGCGACUCCGAGGUGUUCAAAAUCUGCAAGUUGUCAUACUGUAGGAACGUGAGUCAAGACAUCCUGGUGUCCUCAUUGGUCCAGUCUGCAUACUUGCUAUCAUCUCUGAUGAUGAAGAUGCAGUUUCCCUUCAGCCACACUGGACCAUCAUCCUCGAAGAUAGAGUGGUGAUGCACAGCUUCCAAUCCUGGCCAGAUGCUUUUCCCGCUCUUUUGGCCUGGUUUAUGCUCUACAUCUGGAUUACCCAAAACCCAUGUACAGCUCAUUUCUAUUCAUUCAGCAAGUGUUCCUCAACGUUGAUUCCGAAAAGCUCAAAUCAAAAGUUUUGGCCUUGAAAAAUAACCUAAUAAUAAACCUAAUUAUAACCUGUUUUCAGGUCAAAUGUGCCUGUGGUAAGACAACAACAGAUUUUUUUUGUUUUGUUUUUCUUCAACCUUAGAAAAGAGAACUUGGUGAUUGUUGGAACAAAGACCGUUUCAGAUUGUAUGCUUUUUUUUGUUAUUUCCUCUCAUAUGUGUUCUCUUGAAAUGUAACCAGAGGAACAAAAAUUUACUGACAACUGUGAAUCUCAUGUGUUUGAAAUGUUUUUGUGGUAUUCUCCAAUAAUAAAUAAUAGUAAUUUGUACAGUCCAACAUGAAAUUUACACCUGAACCUAAAUUAUCUACAUAGAAGCACGCUGGGAGGGAUUGGCUUGUGUGUUGUCUUAGCAAGGAGGUAGGCCAAGUAAACUAUGACUGUGCUUUUGAAGACUUUGUAAUAAAUACAUUGAAUGUG